rnacentral:rRNA from 1 species
UACGGAGGGUGCAAGCGUUAUCCGGAUUUACUGGGUUUAAAGGGUGCGUAGGCGGGCCUUUAAGUCAGUGGUGAAAUCCCCGGGCCUAACCCGGGAACUGCCAUUGAUACUAUAGGUCUUGAAUUCGGUUGAGGUGGGCGGAAUGUGUCGUGUAGCGGUGAAAUGCUUAGAUAUGACACAGAACACCGAUUGCGAAGGCAGCUCGCUAAACUGACAUUGACGCUGAGGCACGAAAGCGUGGGGAUCAAACAGG